rnacentral:rRNA from 1 species
GGGGGAUAACACUUGGAAACAGGUGCUAAUACCGCAUAACAGUUUAUGCCGCAUGGCAUAAGAGUGAAAGGCGCUUUCGGGUGUCGCUGAUGGAUGGACCCGCGGUGCAUUAGCUAGUUGGUGAGGUAACGGCUCACCAAGGCCACGAUGCAUAGCCGACCUGAGAGGGUGAUCGGCCACACUGGGACUGAGACACGGCCCAGACUCCUACAGGAGGCAGCAGUAGGGAAUCUUCGGCAAUGGACGAAAGUCUGACCGAGCAACGCCGCGUGAGUGAAGAAGGUUUUCGGAUCGUAAAACUCUGUUGUUAGAGAAGAACAAGGACGUUAGUAACUGAACGUCCCCUGACGGUAUCUAACCAGAAAGCCACGGCUAACUACGUGCCAGCAGCCGCGGUAAUACGUAGGUGGCAAGCGUUGUCCGGAUUUAUUGGGCGUAAAGCGAGCGCAGGCGGUUUCUUAAGUCUGAUGUGAAAGCCCCCGGCUCAACCGGGGAGGGUCAUUGGAAACUGGGAGACUUGAGUGCAGAAGAGGAGAGUGGAAUUCCAUGUGUAGCGGUGAAAUGCGUAGAUAUAUGGAGGAACACCAGUGGCGAAGGCGGCUCUCUGGUCUGUAAUUGACGCUGAGGUUCGAAAGCGUGGGGAGCAAACAGGAUUAGAUACCCUGGUAGUCCACGCCGUAAACGAUGAGUGCUAAGUGUUGGAGGGUUUCCGCCCUUCAGUGCUGCAGCAAACG